rnacentral:ncRNA from 1 species
CGUGGGGGAUUCACAAAUGUAUUCACCGCCGGCGAAAUGCGGAAAUUCGCAACGAAUUUGUGAUAGGUAAAUGUAUUUGUCCAUCACUAGUCAGAGUUCGAACCUUCUAAUUGAGGCCCAGCCCAUGGACGGUGUAAAGUUGGUGGUUGCCCCCAGCGCAGUGGGACCUAGUCUCCUCAGAGUCAGGUUGUUUGUAAAUGCAGUCCAAAGCUGAUGGUAAACUCCAACUAAAGCUAAAUACCGGCAAGAGACCGAUAACGAUAACCGUAAGGGAAAGUUGAAAGGAACUUUGUAGACAGAGUUCAAGCCUUUUGAUCAAGGC